UUGUGUCAACAUGUUCGGCGUUUUUACCUGCAGUGUAACUGUGGGUAAAAACGCCAAACAUGUUGACAAAA